rnacentral:rRNA from 1 species
GCACAAGCGGUGGAGCAUGUGGAUUAAUUCGAUGCAACGCGAAGAACCUUACCUGGGCUUGACAUGGACUAGAAAUCCUCAGAGAUGAGGGCUCCCUUGUGGCUGGUUCACAGGUGGUGCAUGGCUGUCGUCAGCUCGUGUCGUGAGAUGUUGGGUUAAGUCCCGCAACGAGCGCAACCCUCGUUCCAUGUUGCCAGCACGUAAUGGUGGGGACUCAUGGGAGACUGCCGGGGUCAACUCGGAGGAAGGUGGGGAUGACGUCAAGUCAUCAUGCCCCUUAUGUCCAGGGCUUCACACAUGCUACAAUGGCCGGUACGAAGGGCUGCUAAGCCGUGAGGUGGAGCGAAUCCCAUAAAGCCGGUCUCAGUUCGGAUCGGGGUCUGCAACUCGACCCCGUGAAGUCGGAGUCGCUAGUAAUCGCAGAUCAGCAUUGCUGCGGUGAAUACGUUCCCGGGC